GGUAGCAUGGCUUAGAUGGCAAGGCGCCUGUCUAGUAAGCAGGAGAUCACGAGUUCGAGUCUCGUUGGGACCU
rfam:Daphnia magna strain Xinb3 contig32978, whole genome shotgun sequence.